GACGAGGGGUCCAAGCGUUGUUCGGAAUCAUUGGGCGUAAAGCGGGUGUAGGUGGCUUUGUAAGUCAGGAGUGAAAUCCCCGAGCUUAACUUGGGAAGUGCUUUUGAAACUGCAGAGCUUGAAUGUGGGAGGGGAUCGUGGAAUUCCAGGUGUAGUGGUGAAAUACGUAGAUAUCUGGAGGAACACCGGUGGCGAAGGCGACAUACUGGUCCGUUACUGACACUGAGGCUCGGAAAGCGUGGGGAGCAAACAGG
rnacentral:rRNA from 1 species